GGCACGUCUCUGCUGGCCCAACGUCGCAGCGCCUCUCCCCCCCCUUUCCCCUCCCUGUCCUCUUGCCUCUCCUCCGGUGGCACCUCCUUCCGGUACUCCUGCCCGCGCCCAACAUGGUGACAGCGCAGCCUCUUCAGCCCUUCCGAGCUAGGAGUGCAGAAAAAGGUAUUGUUUCUUAUUGGCGUUUGCUUUGGUUCUCUGCCGGGGACUGGCUGCCUCACUGUCUCAUCCUUGAAAACCCUUAUCAGGUAAAGAAGGUGAGACCGCCAUAAAAUGUUUUUCAUCUCCAUAAGUCGAGAUGGAAGAGCUGGCAUUCUAAAAGUCAUAAAUAGGUGUGUGAUGUUUCUUAUGCUGGGCAGGAAAUGGAAA